rnacentral:rRNA from 1 species
UGGAGCAAUCCAUGAGUAAAGUGGCGUACGGGUGAGUAACACGUGGAUCAUCUACCUCUUAGUGGGGAAUAACCCUGGGAAACUAGGGCUAAUACCGCAUAAGUCCGUGAGGAGAAAGCAGCAAUGCGCUGAGAGAGGAGUCCGCGGCCGACUAGCUAGUUGGCAGGGUAAAAGCCUACCAAGGCAAAGAUCGGUAGCCGGCCUGAGAGGGCACACGGCCACACUGGCACUGAGACACGGGCCAGACUCCUACGGGAGGCAGCAGUGGGGAAUCUUGCACAAUGGGGGAAACCCUGAUGCAGCGACGCCGCGUGAGCGAUGAAGCCCUUCGGGGUGUAAAGCUCUUUCGGCAGGGAAGAUUAUGACGGUACCUGCAGAAGCAGCUGCGGCUAACUACGUGCCAGCAGCCGCGGUAAUACGUAGGCAGCGAGCGUUGUUCGGAGUUACUGGGCGUAAAGGGUGUGUAGGCGGUUGCUUAAGUUUGGUGUGAAAUCUCCCGGCUCAACCGGGAGGGUGCGCCGAAUACUGAGUGACUCGAGUACGGGAGAGGAAAGUGGAAUUCCUGGUGUAGCGGUGAAAUGCGUAGAUAUCAGGAGGAACACCGGUGGUGUAGACGGCUUUCUGGACCGUAACUGACGCUGAGACACGAAAGCGUGGGUAGCAAACAGGAUUAGAUACCCUGGUAGUCCACGCCCUAAACGAUGCACAUUUGGUGUAGGUCAUUCAGUUGAUCUGUGCCGGAGCUAACGCGUUAAAUGUGCCGCCUGGGGAGUACAGUCGCAAGGCUGAAACUC